UCUAAAAUGGCAGAAAAAUGCACAGGAUUUAAGCUCCUGUUAUGAAGGUUUUUACUUCUUUUAGUA
rnacentral:tRNA from 1 species